GAGCAGUGGAGUCUACAAGACAUUUUUUUCACAUGAAACACAUGCAAAAAAAGAAAAUUCACCUGUGAAGAGAGUCUCUGUUCUGUGGCCUCUCUGGAAGACAUUUUGGGUUCCAAUCAUGUGUGGGGGAGCAUGUCAAUUCAUGAAAGAUAUGAUAUCAUUCGUUAAUCCAUACAUUUUGAGUACAAUCAGUCCUGCAGUUUUUUACUUGAUUGAGUAAAACACACACACAAACACAAAAACAAAAUACAGUCACCUGCGAAGACAAUCUCUGUUCUGUAGCCUCUCUGGAAGACAUUUAGAGUGCCACUCAUGUGUGGGGAAACAUGUCAAGUCAUGAAAGAUGUGAUAUCAUUCGUUAAUCCAUACAUUUUAAGUUUGAUGAUCCAGUUUGUGGACAGUGAAGAAUACAUGUGGAGAGGGUUCGUCUAUGCAAUCAGCAUGUUCAUUACAGCAGAGCUUCAAUCUGUCCUUGCCCACCAGAAUCUCAUGACCAUGCUCAGGGUUGGUCUCAACAGCAGGACUGCAAUCAUGUGUGCAGUU